UACGUAGGGGCAAGCGUUGUCCGGAAUCAUUGGGCGUAAAGAGCGUGUAGGCGGCCAGAUAAGUCCGCUGUGAAAACUCGAGGCUCAACUUCGAGCUGUCGGCGGAAACUAUCUGGCUAGAGUCCGGAAGAGGAGAGUGGAAUUCCUGGUGUAGCGGUGAAAUGCGCAGAUAUCAGGAAGAACACCAAUGGCGAAGGCAGCUCUCUGGGACGGUACUGACACUGAGACGCGAAAGCAUGGGGAGCGAACAGG
rnacentral:rRNA from 1 species